rnacentral:tRNA from 2 species
GGCCGAAUGGUCCAGUGGUAGGAUUGUUGUUUCGGGUAUGACAGAUCCCGGGUUCGAACCCCGGUUCGGCCC